UACGACUACAUAUCAGGCAUAUCAAUAAGCGGAGGAAAAGAAACUAACAAGGAUUCCCUUAGUAACGGCGAGUGAAGCGGGAAGAGCUCAAAUUUGAAAUCUUCAAGGUUCUACCUUGACGAAUUGUAGUUUAAAGAAGUGUUUUCUGUUAGAUGAGUAGCAAAAGUUCCUUGGAAUGGGACAUCAUAGAGGGUGAGAAUCCCGUAUUUGGUUAUUCAUUCUAGCUUUGUGAUACACUUUCAAAGAGUCGGAUUGUUUGGGAAUGCAGUCCAAAAUGGGUGGUAAAUUUCAUCUAAAGCUAAAUAUUGGCGAGAGACCGAUAGCGAACAAGUACCGUGAGGGAAAGAUGAAAAGAACUUUGAAAAGAGAGUUAAACAGUACGUGAAAUUGUCAAAAGGGAAGCGUUUGACACCAGUGUUGUUUUUCCGAAAAUCAAUUACGAAUGGCUUGAUUUUGUGUUGUAUUGACCUUAUCAGCUUUCUGCACUUUUUUCGAGUCUUUCUUAAUGCACUUUUCGGUUAACAAGUCAACAUCAAUUUCUUUUGUUGUAAAAGAGUAUUCGGAAGGUGGCUUUCUUUUCGGAGAAAGUGUUUAUAGCCCUAUACUUCUACAAUCGGAGAGAUUGAGGUCUGCAGCGUAGAUCCUUCGGGGUUAGAUACACUUGUGCUAAGUUGUAGCUUUUCAUAGACAACUUGUUGACUAUGUUUAGUCAUGCGGCUUACUCGCUUGUGCUAUUUUACCUACGCUUAGGAUGUUGAGUAGCGACAUACGCAC
rnacentral:rRNA from 1 species